AUUGAACGCUGGCGGCAGGCCUAACACAUGCAAGUCGAACGGUAACAGGAAGAAGCUUGCUUCUUUGCUGACGAGUGGCGGACGGGUGAGUAAUGUCUGGGAAACUGCCUGAUGGAGGGGGAUAACUACUGGAAACGGUAGCUAAUACCGCAUAACGUCGCAAGACCAAAGAGGGGGACCUUCGGGCCUCUUGCCAUCGGAUGUGCCCAGAUGGGAUUAGCUAGUAGGUGGGGUAACGGCUCACCUAGGCGACGAUCCCUAGCUGGUCUGAGAGGAUGACCAGCCACACUGGAACUGAGACACGGUCCAGACUCCUACGGGAGGCAGCAGUGGGGAAUAUUGCACAAUGGGCGCAAGCCUGAUGCAGCCAUGCCGCGUGUAUGAAGAAGGCCUUCGGGUUGUAAAGUACUUUCAGCGGGGAGGAAGGGAGUAAAGUUAAUACCUUUGCUCAUUGACGUUACCCGCAGAAGAAGCACCGGCUAGCUCCGUG
rnacentral:rRNA from 1 species